rnacentral:rRNA from 1 species
AGUGGGGAAUUUUCCACAAUGGGCGAAAGCCUGAUGGAGCAAUACCGCGUGAGGGAGGAAGCAUCGUGGUGUGUAAACCUCUUUUCUUAAGGAAGAAUAAAUGACGGUACUUAAGGAAUAAGCGCCGGCUAACUCUGUGCCAGCAGCCGCGGUAAUACAGAGGGCGCAAGCGUUGUCCGGAAUGAUUGGGCGUAAAGCAUCUGUAGGUGGUUUUUAAAGUCGACUGUCAAAUCCCAGAGCUCAACUUUGGACAGGCAGUUGAGUACUUAGAGACUUGAGUACGGUAGGGGUAGAGGGAAUUCCUAGUGGAGCGGUGAAAUGCACAGAGAUUAGGAAGAACACCAGUGGCGAAAGCGCUCUACUGGGCCGUGACUGACACUGAGAGAUGAAAGUUGGGGGAGCGAA